GAUGAAGAACGCAGCGAAAUGCGCUAAGUAAUGUGAAUUGCAGAAUUCAGUGAAUCAUCGAAUCUUUGAACGCACAUUGCGCCCGCCAGUAUUCUGGCGGGCAUGCCUGUUCGAGCGUCAUUACAACCCUCAGGCCCCCGGGCCUGGCGUUGGGGAUCGGCGGAAGCCCCCUGCGGGCACAACGCCGUCCCCCAAAUACAGUGGCGGUCCCGCCGCAGCUUCCAUUGCGUAGUAGCUAACACCUCGCAACUGGAGAGCGGCGCGGCCACGCCGUAAAACACCCAACUUCUGAAUGUUGACCUCGAAUCAGGUAGGAAUACCCGCUGAACUUAAGCAUAUCAAUAAGCGGAGGA
rnacentral:misc_RNA from 1 species